UACGUAGGGUGCAAGCGUUGUCCGGAAUUAUUGGGCAUAAAGAGCUCGUAGGCGGUCUGUCGCGUCGGCUGUGAAAACUCGGGGCUCAACCCCGAGCCUGCAGUCGAUACGGGCAGACUAGAGUGCGGUAGGGGAGACUGGAAUUCCUGGUGUAGCGGUGAAAUGCGCAGAUAUCAGGAGGAACACCGGUGGCGAAGGCGGGUCUCUGGGCCGUAACUGACGCUGAGGAGCGAAAGCGUGGGGAGCAAACAGG
rnacentral:rRNA from 1 species